rnacentral:snoRNA from 1 species
AAACCAUGGUGGGGACAAAGUCUAAGCAUUUCCCUGAAACGCUCCCACGCAUCAUAGAAAGACUCCCCAUCUUUUUUAUUGAACCGCGUGAUUUGGUCUCUUAGUUU